rnacentral:rRNA from 1 species
UACGUAGGGUGCGAGCGUUAAUCGGAAUUACUGGGCGUAAAGCGUGCGCAGGCGGAUUGUUAAGCAAGACGUGAAAUCCCCGGGCUUAACCUGGGAAUGGCGUUUUGAACUGGCAGUCUAGAGUGCGUCAGAGGGGGGUGGAAUUCCACGUGUAGCAGUGAAAUGCGUAGAGAUGUGGAGGAACACCGAUGGCGAAGGCAGCCCCCUGGGAUGACACUGACGCUCA